rnacentral:rRNA from 1 species
UACAAGUUAUGGUCUUUAAAUUUAAAUAAUUUGGCGGUAAAUUAAUUUAACUAGAGGAAUUUGUUUAGUAAUAGAUAAUACACAAUUUAUCUUUCUUUAUUUAUUAGAGAAUAAUAAUUUAUAUAUCGUCGUUUAGAAUAUUUUUAUAGAAUUAAUUUUCUUAUUAUUAUUUUUAAUUUAAAAUCAGAUCAAGAUGUAGUUUAUAGUAAAGAAUAAAAAUGAGUUACAUUUUUAUUAAAAAAUUAUGAAUAUUUUUUUGUAAUUAAAAUUUUGAAGGGGGAUUUAGAAGUAAUAAGGUAUUAAUAUGAUUUUAUGAAUAAUAUUACACUAAUUUAUGU